rnacentral:tRNA from 1 species
GGAGUUGUGGCUCAGUGGUAGAGCACUUACCUGGCAUGUGUGAGGCUCUGGGUUUGAUCCUCAGCACCA